AAGCUGCUGCACCGCGCGCGCGCUCACUGAGAUCCGAGGGGAGAAGUUGACAUCGUGGUGGUUGUUGUUGUUGUGGUUGUUGUUGUUGUGGUGGUUGUUGUUGUUUACCCAGGUAGAGCCUCGCUCCGUCUCUCGUAGGGAUAUCAAUUGAGUAGCAGCGAGUAUGGAAUCCAUGUUCAGGUUUGGAAGAAAAACGGAAAACCCAGUGGAACACCAAUGCCGACGGUGACGGCCGACGCCAGGAUAGCGGCCACGGGCUUGAAGCGAGGGCAACCCGGCUCUUGUCCCAAGAAAGGAAUCCGCUCCCCGCUGCCCUCCACGGUGGCUGCACGCUGAGCCCCAACUUUCCCAGGAGUGUGCAGCGCACGAUCCGGGGCCUGUAGGCGGCUCACUUCAACCCCGACCACGCUGCCGUGUGUUGCACUCAAGAGUGACGUUACCGCUCCCCGUGUCCAGCAGAAUCCGGGUACGCCGCCUGUUCACCUGCCCUUCCACGAGCGACGUGGCCCCCAUUAUACCUGCCACCAGCUCCCGCAGCCAGUCACUCACAGUCGCCGCAUUCUGGGGUGUUGUUGUCGGCAUCUGUGUGGGGGUCACUCGCUCACCAUUAUCACGACAGUUUAUUUGUGUUGGGACCACGUGGAUUGCACUCCUCUGUGGUCCCCUCUUUAGGGA